GAGGAAAUCACUGUUUUAGAGGUCUGACUUCAGUCCAUAGCCCGAGUUUAAAACCAACUUAUAUUUGGAGUUUAAAACAGAUAUUUUCUAUGCUGCCAGUUUGAUCUUUGCCUGCCAGAAGUACAGGUCCCUCUAGUGUCCUUAUUACAAAUUCUUGUCAGCUUUUAUCUUAACAACACCUGCCAUUAAAGUCAACAGUUUCCUCACAGUAGUGUUUUGAACACCACAUUACUACACAGUACAUACAUCAGGACUGUACAGUGUGAUAUGUAAAUGUCACUGUUACAACACUUGGUCAAUAUGGAUUUUUUUUCUUUCUAUGGUGGGCCUCUCUGUAUGGGUUAUGAGAACUAAAAGAGUCUGCAGCAAGACCCUGCCAGGUAGUUGCUCUCCAGCCUGGCCAGAAAUAAGGAUCCGGGCGGCUGUACUGCCUUCAGCCAGCAGAAGUUGAGCUCCCAGAGGCAACUGCAAGCCUGGCGCUAACGCAAUGUGUCCCUCUGGAGGAAUGGGCUAACUGGGAGAAAAAGGGGGUUUAGCUCUUGUUAGCAAUUCUGUAGAGCCUCCUCUGAUCCUGUUUACAGUCUUCUCCAGUUGUGCUGGGAUGGCAGGUUUUACAUUUCACCAGUUGAUGGAGUAGGUGUAGAUGGCCCUUGGACUGGUUUGGGUGCAGGUGUGAUUGAGAGUAUGGGACAGCUGGGGUGGGAAGCCAGGUGUGAUUAUUGUCCAUUAGUCAAGCGUGCCUUGUUCCUGAUGAGACGGCCAGUUGCAUGGCUCCUACCAGAGGGAAGGAAAACAUUUCUUUUAGUUGGGUAGUUUGUAAUCUCCUUGGGGACUUGCUGAGGUGAGAAGAAUGUUUGUGGCUGCCAUGCAGAUGAAGAAGGCAAUUGCUUCCUAAAGCUUUCUUUUUCCUUCGUGCAGAGGAAGAAAACCAUCAAGUUCUAGUAGCAAAGUAAUGCUCAAUUUCAAGUCCAACCAAACUAUGAUUCUGCUGAGGAAACCACUAGGAACUAUUUAACAAGGCAGUAAAUCUAAUUGCAGCAUCUUCAGUAUUCAAGUCAAUUUGUUGUCACUUUUCUCCUGUAGCAGAAUCACCACCAAGAUGAUCUCUGCUCCCUCAGCUUUCCUGUAGCGAAGAUCCCCAUGUCCUCACUGAUGCGUGGCUGGAUGUCUGUGCUAUGGGACAGAACUUCUGCUUUUGUGAUUUAUCCAUCACAGACCAGUGCCAAGCACUAUAAUCUCAAGGUUCCUUCUGCAAUGACAAAUAACUUGGCUUUUGGUCUCAUAGAUAGACUUGCUCACUGGAACAAGGUUGUUGUUACCCCAUAAAAGAUUUCAUCCCACUAAUAAGGAGAGCAAGAAGCAUGUCAAAGAGACAGUAAUUAGUAUAGGGCAGCUGAACACUGCAGCCUGGUCUGAUAGGGAACAUUUCAACUUACUUUAUUUUCAGAAUUGUCACCUGAAUCAAAUGUUUAUGGAAAAGUGGCAUUUGCCUACUGUUUCUCAGGCUGAGAAAUAGGUGGUUGAUACAAUAAUAUCCAUUUGUUUUUAAAGAGCUAUUUAGUAUGGGCAGAGUGGGCUAACUCUCUCAAACGGAUAUGGAACCAUGCUUUCCUUGGGAAUACACAGAAAUAAAAACAGCAUGUUUGUUUUUGCCUGGCUCAUUUAUUGCUUACAGUUCGACUGCUUUUAUGGAGGCAAGGUGAAUUUAAAUGCAAAGCAGGAGAGAAAUCCACUAAGAGGAAGAUUAAGGAGUCUUGCCAUUACAGCAAUGACAGUAUGAAUCUGAAGAGCAAGCACAGGUGAGACUUUAUUUUUUGGAUGCCCGCUUUCAAUUGCCAUCACCUGAGUGUGGCUGGCAGAGGGUGCAGUAGCGCAGCUUGCUGCCUCUGCUUAUCAGGAGAGCCAGCUUCCAAAGGCUCAAUGUCACGGAGACUUUCAGAGGGUCCAGAGUGACCCAACUACAUCAGUGCUUGCUGCUCUGCUUCCGACCUUGCAGAAAGCAUUUAUCGCUGGGGUUCAGUUUGGGGGGAAAGGCUUGGGUCAGGCUAUUUUCUCAGAGUGUUGUGUCCUCCUUUGAGCUUUUUCCAUGUCUCGAUUUGAAAAAAAAAAAAAAAAAAAAAGUUUAUUGGCAAGGGGAUGGGAACAGUCAAAUUAUUCGAAUUUAGAGCCCAGUGCCAGUACCUACUGCCAGUAGCCUUGCGCCCAUCUUCCCUCGUCUCAUGUGUGUACCUACUGCAACAUCUCAGUGCCCAUCUUCUCUUGUAACCACAGCUGCUUUGUGCACCUUGGUGACAAUCUGCCCACUGCUGGCUGCCACCCCCCAGCACUCAGUGUCCAUCAUUAGCUCUUGUCAUAUUGCAGGAAAGUUAUUCCUACACUUAUGACUGCGGGAUCAAGUCACUACACUACAUGUAUUAAAAUCAGUGUAAAUAUAAUACUUUACUCCUGCAGAAAGUCUGGUCCUGCUUCAAGGAUAAUACUGCUGAUUUCACUGUAGUGGGAAAGUGCAAUGCAAGGAGAGCAACGAAUGCUAUCAGAGCUCUUACAAGAGACAAAGAACUGCAUUCAUUGCAGAAUUUUCUGUUGCAGAUCAUAAAAAACAAAUGAAGAAAUGUUUUCUCAAGAAUCAGUCCAAUUUUUCCAUCCUGAGGGACAAAGAAAACUCCAGCCCAAUUGACUGUUAGUGUGGAUCGGCCAAAACUGCAAAGAAAAAAAAAUGUCACAGGACUCACCCGCAUGAGGAAGACAAGUAGCACAGCUUUGCCCUGACCUUCAGGACAGCCUUGUGCAAAUGACACUCCAUUCCCAGGACCUGUUAGGAUCCUCCCCACUGACCUCACUGGGAGUUACUCUGUGCACAACAAACAACUACCAUCCAACCUGGUGGUGACAGCAGGGCAACCUCGGUUUGGCCAUUUAGGGGCACCAGAGGGGCUACGACACAGAUGUUAAACUGAAAGGCAGUAGAAACAGACAUGUAACUCUCUGGGCUCCUUGUAACCCUCACCUAUUUUUAGUAAAAUUUGUGGAAAUGUUUCUGCAUCAUUGCUGUUAUCUGACUGAUGUAUUUUCACUUCCAUUCUGUUUGGAAUAAAUCGAUCUGUUUUCCUAACCCAUCACUAAACACAGCCUCGUUGACUCAGGAUGCAAGGCUCAUCACCUCAUACUGGAGGUGGGUCCACGGAUGGAGCUGCACGAGAUACAGCUGAGAAAGCUGCAGAGAUACUGUGGCCCUUUAAUCUCAUUUUAUAUUUCAGCAAUUCAUAAAUACAUCUAGUAAAAAAGACAUACACAAUUUAUAUUGGUUUCUAGUUGCUACUAAAAUGAAGUUCUGGAGGUUCUGGGAAAUUAUUCUGGAUGCAUUGUAAGCGUAGUACUGUUAACACAGCAGUUAAAUCCACUUAUUAUAAACUGAAUAUUUCUUCCUUAGCAGUAAAUAAAGAAAAUCUUAUAAUUCUUAGACAAGGAGAAGAAAUAUAUCUGUGAAAGCCACACCCUAAACAAAGCACUGUUGUCAUCAAGGCCUCGGGCAGAAUGAAGGCAUUAAGUCCCAAGAAUACAUCUUCAGGGUGGGCAGAUGGCAGUCAGUGUGACUUACACCUUUACUUUUCUAUUUAUGACACCCCUUUACAUGCCACUCCUUGGUAGAGGCUGCAGACACAAGCCUAACUUUGUACAGCUUCAGUCGGAUACAAAGAGAUUCUGGAUGUUUACCUGAAAAGCCCUCUUUAGUCUGGAAACUGCUGAUACCUUGAAGAUACGACAAGUUUAUUCUGUUUCAUGGGACUUCUGUGGCAGAGGAGGUUCCUGGUGCAGGACAUACACAGUGCUGACUAUGUGAUGUUUCACUGUGUGCUCAUUUCAUCAAGAGAGAUGCUUCUGUUGGCUGUUUGCUUCUUUUAAUCGCAAGGAAGUACAGUGGGAUUUCUCACAUUGUAACUCUCUAAUAAAC